AUUGAACGCUGGCGGCAUGCCUUACACAUGCAAGUCGAACGGCAGCACGAGGGCAACCCUGGUGGCGAGUGGCGAACGGGUGAGUAAUACAUCGGAACGUGUCCUGUAGUGGGGGAUAGCCCGGCGAAAGCCGGAUUAAUACCGCAUACGAUCUACGGAAGAAAGCGGGGGAUCCUUCGGGACCUCGCGCUAUAGGGGCGGCCGAUGGCAGAUUAGCUAGUUGGUGGGGUAAAGGCCUACCAAGGCGACGAUCUGUAGCUGGUCUGAGAGGACGACCAGCCACACUGGGGCUGAGACACGGCCCAGACUCCUACGGGAGGCAGCAGUGGGGAAUUUUGGACAAUGGGGGAAACCCUGAUCCAGCAAUGCCGCGUGUGUGAAGAAGGCCUUCGGGUUGUAAAGCACUUUUGUCCGGAAAGAAAACUUCUGCCCUAAUACGGCGGGAGGAUGACG
rnacentral:rRNA from 1 species